rnacentral:rRNA from 1 species
AGAGUUUGAUCCUGGCUCAGAUUGAACGCUGGAGGCGUGCUUAACACAUGCAAGUCGUGCGAGAAAGGGACUUCGGUCCUGAGUAGAGCGGCGCACGGGUGAGUAACGCGUGGGUAAUCUCCCCUGGUGAUCGGGAUAACAGCGGGAAACUGCUGCUAAUACCGGAUAAUCUUCAUGUUUAACUUCAUGGGGUAAAGGUGGCCUCUGCUUGCAAGCUACCACAUCAGGAUGAGCCCGCGUCUCAUUAGCUAGUUGGUAGGGUAAUGGCCUACCAAGGCUACGAUGAGUAGCGGGUCUGAGAGGAUGAUCCGCCACACUGGCACUGGAACACGGGCCAGACUCCUACGGGAGGCAGCAGUGAGGAAUAUUGCGCAAUGGGGGCAACCCUGACGCAGCGACGCCGCGUGAGUGAGGAAGGCCUUCGGGUCGUAAAGCUCUGUCAAGAGGAAAGAAGUGCAUAAUGGUUAAUACCUGUUAUGUUUGACGGUACCUCUAAAGGAAGCACCGGCUAACUCCGUGCCAGCAGCCGCGGUAAUACGGAGGGUGCAAGCGUUGUUCGGAAUCACUGGGUGUAAAGGGCGCGCAGGCGGUAUGGUAAGUCAGAUGUGAAAGCCCACGGCUUAACCGUGGAAGGGCAUUUGAAACUGCCAGACUUGAGUACCAGAGGGGAAAGUGGAAUUCCCGGUGUAGAGGUGAAAUUCGUAGAUAUCGGGAGGAAUACCGGUGGCGAAGGCGACUUUCUGGCUGAGUACUGACGCUGAGGCGCGAAAGCGUGGGGAGCAAACAGGAUUAGAUACCCUGGUAGUCCACGCCGUAAACGAUGUCAACUAGAUGCAGGGGGUGUUGAUCCCCUCUGUGUCGCAGCUAACGCAUUAAGUUGACCGCCUGGGGAGUACGGUCGCAAGAUUAAAACUCAAAGGAAUUGACGGAU